AACGUGAGCAACCUACCCUUCAGAGGGGGACAACAGUUGGAAACGACUGCUAAUACCGCAUAAGACCACGGUGUGGCAUCACACAGAGGUCAAAGGAGAAAUCCGCUGAAGGAUGGGCUCGCGUCCAAUUAGCUAGAUGGUGAGGUAACGGCCCACCAUGGCGACGAUUGGUAGCCGGACUGAGAGGUUGAUCGGCCACAUUGGGACUGAGACACGGCCCAG
rnacentral:rRNA from 1 species